UACGUAGGGGGCUAGCGUUGUCCGGAAUCAUUGGGCGUAAAGCGCGCGUAGGCGGCCCGGUAAGUCCGCUCUGAAAGUCCAGGGCUCAACCCUGGAAAGCGGGUGGAUACUGCCGGGCUAGAAUCCGGAAGAGGCGAGUGGAAUUCCUGGUGUAGCGGUGGAAUGCGCAGAUAUCAGGAGGAACACCGGUGGCGAAGGCGGAUCUCUGGGCCUUACCUGACGCUCAGGCACGAAAGCUAGGGGAGCGAACAGG
rnacentral:rRNA from 1 species